rnacentral:sRNA from 1 species
UCAAGGUCCACGUACCUCGUUGAUUCGAGGUU